AACGAACGCUGGCGGCAGGCUUAACACAUGCAAGUCGAGCGCCCCGCAAGGGGAGCGGCAGACGGGCGAGUAACGCGUGGGAAUCUACCCAUCUCUACGGAAUAACGCAUGGAAACGUGUGCUAAUACCGUAUACGUCCUUCGGGAGAAAGAUUUAUCGGAGAUGGAUGAGCCCGCGUUGGAUUAGCUAGUUGGUGGGGUAAAGGCCUACCAAGGCGACGAUCCAUAGCUGGUCUGAGAGGAUGAUCAGCCACACUGGGACUGAGACACGGCCCAGACUCCUACGGGAGGCAGCAGUGGGGAAUAUUGGACAAUGGGCGCAAGCCUGAUCCAGCCAUGCCGCGUGAGGGAUGAAGGCCCUAGGGUUGUAAAGCUCUUUCACCGGUGAAGAUAAUGACGGUAACCGGAGAAGAAGCCCCGGCUAACUUCGUGCCAGCCGCCGCCGUAAUAC
rnacentral:rRNA from 1 species